CCUAACAAUAUUAAACUGGAUAUAAAAGCAGAACACAAAUAUCAAACUCAAGCCCUCUCGCCCCUGAUCCUCCUGGCAAGCUGAAUAUCCUUAGGCAUGAUGGUGACACGCUUGGCAUGAAUCGCGCAGAGAUUAGUAUCUUCGAAGAGUCCAACCAGAUAAGCCUCAGCGGCCUCCUGAAGAGCAGCCACAGCAGAGCUCUGGAACCGAAGAUCAGUCUUGAAGUCCUGUGCGAUUUCCCGAACAAGUCGCUGGAACGGAAGCUUUCGGAUCAGAAGCUCGGUUGAUUUCUGGUACUUGCGAAUUUCUCGGAGCGCGACGGUUCCGGGGCGGAAACGGUGGGGCUUCUUGACGCCGCCGGUGGCCGGGGCUGACUUCCGGGCGGCUUUUGUCGCGAGCUGCUUGCGGGGGGCCUUGCCGCCGGUGGAUUUGCGAGCUGUCUGCUUUGUUCGUGCCAUUGAUGGGGAGAUGUUGAUACAGGAUUUGUGUGUGUAUAGCUAGGGAGAGAUUGCAGAGAAGAUGUGAGUGAUGUGAUGCAUGAUUUGGGGGUUUAUUUAUAAGGAAGGUGUGGUGGGGUGUGAGUGAUAAGAACCGUUGGAUUGCGGGUUCAGUGGACGGUGAGAGAUUUAUUUGACGCGGAUCGGUGACAUGGCGAGGAGUAAAGAUUGUGUAAGUUGAUCGUGGCCGUUGGUUUUUGAUCUGUCAGAGUGUGUUUUCUGGAUUGACGCGGGUGAUUCGAAAAUUUCGGAAGGUGAUUUGUAUUUUGAAAUUUCUGAAGUGCCCGCCUCCUAUUUGCUCAGCUUCGCGCAGCGAUUUAAAUUUUACUCCUCCGUCCCAUUUUAUAUCCCAAAAUUUUAUCCACUUUUAUGAUUUUCCAAAAAAAAAAAUCUAUUAUAUGUACAAUUUUAAAUAUUAAUUUUUAAUAUUAAAUUCACUUCUUCUCUAUUUUAUAUUGUUGGAAUGAUGAUAUUUAUACAUAUAAUUUAUAAACUUAAUUUUGACAUGUCACGCAAACUUUUCGUCAAGAAUUUUGUAAAGUUGUAGAUGAUCAAAAAAAUGAAAAAUCAUGAGACCCUCUAGAUUACUUUUUAAAAAAUGAUCCGUUCUUUAAAGCAAAGAAGUGCAAGUAAAAUCCUUGUUUGUAACCAAGUUACCAGCUCAUGGAUAUAUACUAACAACUAAUUUUUAUCUAUGUAAUGAAUUUUAAUUAGUUCUCUCAUUCCAUUUAUAAUGAUAGCCCCUUACAUGCACAAAAAUCCUCACCGAUCAAAAUUUCCAUCUGAAUAAAAAAAGUCAUUUUUAGCAUGUGCUCGUGACACAUACUAGGAAGAUCAUAUUUUAAAUAUAGCAUGUUAUUAUUAUUUCAAGAUGUUAUAAACGAAUUGUAUUGUUUUAAUAUGAAUUGAUGAUGCGGCAUUUGCUACAGAUCUCGACUAGUUCGACAAAUAUAAUUAUUCAUAAAAGCUUGGUUAAAUUUACAAACAAGGAAGAGUAUGGUUGGAGUGUUAUAUAUAUUUUCAUGAGAUUAUUUUUAUUUUUUAUUUUUGGCAUGUCAACUUAUUUUUAUUUAAGGAUUUUUCAUGGUGGAAGUUGCUCUCAGGACAUUUCCAACCGGGCUAGGCAAAUUGGACAUGCGUGACAUUUUGUUAAAUUUGUUAAAACUGCAAGAUCUUGUACUUCGAUGAUAUUAACUAUAUUGGUUUGACUAUAUUUUUAAAAAAAUUAUGUUAUUAAACCGGCCAGAGUGGGGAGGGGUGCCGUAAAUUAUUGGCUCUUGAACUUGUUUUGUGCCCCUCACGAACCUGUUGGGAUUCAGGGUCAUGAGGCUUUACUGGACCUGAGGUGUAUUGACUAGCGUCGGGAGUGGUCUCAAAUGGUGACGAGCAGUGGAAAAAAACAUGUAAAAAAAUGAGUGGGACGGAGAAGAUAGUGUUAGUAUAACAUUGUAUAUUAGAGCGUCUCGAUGGUGUUUGGCUUUAAUCGUUGGCUAAAUUAGAUGUAUAAGACAUUAUUUAAAUUUGGGAAAAUAGAUUUUUUUUUACCACUCAACUUAUAGCGUUUUUAGAAACUUACCACCCAAUUAAUUUAUUUUUUCUUUUAGUCACUAAUGUUUGGUUUGAUUUUAUUUUUAACCACCAACUUAGGUUCGGAUUUGAUUACUAGAAUUAUGAUAAUUUUUUGUAACAUCAUUUAUACACAGUGAUAAUAUGUAAUAUUUUGAUUAUGUGUCGUAUGUUUAUAUCUUUAUAUAUAGCACUAAUAAUAUAAAAUGAGCCGAUGAAAAAUUAAAAUCUGAAAAAAUCAUAAUUAGAUUUUAAAAAUUCAAUAAAUCAUGAAUAUGAAAUUAAUGACUUCAAACAAUUCACCUUCUCUCCUAAGAUAAAGUGUAAUUGAGUGAUAUGACGCAUCAUCUUUCACUAUUAAAGUUUCAAUUGACUAGCUCAGUCUAAGAUCUCUCUUAAAUUUAUAUUCAAAAUUUAUAAUAAUGUUAUCUUAUUACCAUUUUCAAGAUAAAUAAAUAGAGAGGAAAACUUAAUUUUCGAUGAUUGUCCUCUAUAUUUAAUGCAUCAUUUUAUAUUAUUAUUACUCCCUCCGUGCCUCUCACUAGUUUACAAUUUUUUUUAUUGCUUAGCAUGUAUUUAAGACUCUUAUAAAAUAUAGUUCCAUAACUUAUUUUUGUGAUUUUUUUUUUGUGUAAAAAUUCAAACGCUAAAUUUUCAUUCGGAAGAAAAAAAAAGUUAUAUAUGAAACUACAUCUUUUAAAAGCUAUGAAAUGCGUGUAAAAUUCUUAUCAUCCAAGGUAAACGACCUUGGAGACAUAAAAAGUACGGUAUACAAAGAUACAAACAUAUACCAAAUCAUCAAAAUAUUACAUACCACCACUAUAUUUUAAUAAUGUUACACAUAGUAUGUGAUGCUAAUAAUCAAAUCCGAAACUAGCUUCAGUGACAAAAAAAACUAAAUCUAACACUAAUGAGUAAUAUAAAAAAAUUAUAGUUGAGUGGUUAGUUUCUAAAGACGCAAUAAUUUUAGUGACAAAAAAAUUAUCAUAAUACUAGUAAUCAAAUCCGAACCUAAGUUGGUGGAUCAAAAAAAAACCGAACCUAACAUUAGUGAGUAAAAAAAAAAAAAAUAGUUGGAUGGUAAGUUUCUAAAUUUUGUUGAAGUUGUAAGAUGUUGUGUUUCAAUGGUUUAGCCCUAUAUUAGUCUGGCUAUAAUUUCCCGCACAUUUCUUACAUAACUAUGGAGGUUCGACAAAUAUAAAUAUCGAUUGGAUGUUGGCUGACAUUAUAGACAAGGGCGGGGAUGGUCGGAGUAUUAUAUUUUCAGGAUAUUGGUUUUUUUUUUUUUUUACCUUGUUGACUCAUUUUUUACCUAAAGAUUUUUCAUGGUUGGAGUUGCUAUCAAGAGAUUGGCUAAAAUUAUAGAUAAGAGGCUGAGGUGGUUGAAUUAUGAUAUUUUUAAGGUAUUGACCAUUUUUUUAUUUUUUGUAUGUCAACUCAUUUUUUAGGUAAAAAAAUAAAAAGAUACUUCUUCCGUCCUACCAGGUUUUUUAUAUUGGGAAACGGGAACUAAGCACGCAUUUCAAGGCUCUGAUUAAAUAUAAUUCUAUAAAUUAUUUUAAUUUUUUCUUUCGAAUAAAAACAUAAUAUUUAAAUUUUUAUUCAUAAAAAUUAAAAAUAAGUUAUGGAACUACUUCAAAAAAAAAGUUGUGGAACUAUAUGGCAUGUUUGUUUUCAAGAAGCAGACGCUAAUUCUGACUUCUGUUUUUCUUCACCCGUUUCUGUAAAUAAGUAAAAUUACAUUUAAGAAGCUGAGAAUGCUAGCUUUCUCUCUCAGAGCUUUUGUUUCUUUUCCAAGCACUCUAUUAACUCAUUUAAUUAUCACUUUUAAUCCUUUUUUUACUUUAAGCAAGAAAUCACUUUUUUAAAAUUUACCCGAACGGUCCAAUAAUCCAGAGUUUAAGAAAAUGAGUGGGACGGUGGAGUUGGUGUAAGGAAUUGUUUAGCUUAGCUUAAAAAAAUGUGCUUCUUGCUUAAAACGGAAAAAUGAAUUAAAAGUGAAAAUAAGUUAAACUUAUAAGUUCGUGAAAGUAUUUGAGAAAAAAAAUAAAAAUCUUGUAAUAAAAACUAUUAUUACGCAAACGAGUUAAAAAAAGUAGAAACAACCUCUUAAGAAAAAUUAGAAAAAGUGUUUUUUUCCCCAACACCACCUGCACCUUGAUCUCUCAUGUCUCAAAAUAGCAUAAAAAGUUUACAUCAUACAACAGCUGGGAAUCUCCGGGCACCGGAAAUUCAAACAGCCACAAAAAAUUACUCCGGUCAGUCAUCAUCACCGGAAAAAUUGUCGAUGCAAGAAAAAAGCACUUCUAAAUGUAUAAUAGAGAAAUACUACUACAGCUUCGCCGAAUAAACAACCAUGAUCAUUCCCAUCACUAUAAUUCCGGCGCCGGCAGGGCAUUCAGAUCAAUAUUAAACUCUCCCAUACUCAACUUCAAGUCAAUAACAACCGAAGACUCCUCAGAAUCAUUCAGUGAACACCCGUUGACUUUGCACGAACCUCCGUUGACCGCCCAUUCUCCCGUAAACCCUAAAGUGAGAUCCAAAGUUUCGUCACUCUCCGACUCAACAGUACUACUCUGACUCACACUCCCGUGCACAUCUUUCAUACAAUGAGACGUUGUAUAAAUACCCGUAAGAUUAUAAUUAAUAUCAAAAAUCUCGUCUGCUCUAGGAAAAUUAGUUUUCGCAUUGACGCCGCGGAAACUACGUGCCGCGGCGUCAUACGCCAUAGCGGCUUCCUCAGCCGUAUCAAAUGUACCUAACCAAACGCGGUUCUUUUUGUUCGGGUCCCGUAUUUCCGCGGCGUAUCGGCCCCACGGCCGCUUUCGUACGCCGCGGAAAUGCGGUUGUUUUAGCGUCGUGCUAGGUUUUGUAGUAAGAGGAGGCGCUGUUCUUUCUUUCGGGGCCAUGGAGAAGUUUGUGUAAUGUGGUUGUUAAGUUGGUGUGUGGAUAUAUAGGAAAGUGAGGUCAAGGAGUUGGAGAGAUGGGUGAACGAAAAGGAAAAGCCGCCGCCGCCCUGUGUCAUUAAUUUAAGUAGCUUGUAUCGAGUUUAUGGAAAGUGGUCCAUUAUUUUAUUUACUUUUCGUGGGCGGCAGUCCCUCUGUAUCUUGUUAUCGUCAAAUUAAUUUUAUAAAAUUAUUAGUACCAUCUUCUUAUAGUAAUCGCAUAGUAACUGGUGUUUUUCCGUAUUUGUUUUAAUAGUUGCCUGUAAACAUACCGGCCUUGUUAGGCUCAGUUUUAGAACAUUUGCAGCCCCAGAUGACCUUAAAGUUACUCCCUAGUCCCUCCAUCCCUGAGUUGAAUAUACUUACGACAGACGUAUGCGACGCGGAUUUUAAUGAUUUUAUAAAAUUUAAUUUAGUAAUUUAAUUUUAAGAUUUUCUUUUUAAUAAAAAAUUUAAUGUUAUUAUUUUAUCUAGAAAAAAAUUUAAAAAAUAUGUGAUAGAAUUAUAUUCUCUUGAAGCAUUGAAGUGCGUGUCGAGUAGUGAAAGAAAAGCGUAUAGAAUUAAAUAUGAAAGAGAGAGUAUAAAUAAAAGUAUAGAUGUUUUAUAAUAAGUUCAAUUCUAAAAGGAUAUUUUUCUUGUGUAUAAUUUUAACUAAUUUAAAUUUGUCCAAUCUUGGAAAGCACGUAAGAAAAUUCCAAAUCAUUCCUUGAUGUUAAGUUAUUUAAGUCAUAUAUUUAAUCUACAACAAUUUAAAAUAAUAAUAAUAAUAAUAAUAUAUUAAUAUAUAAUUUUAAAAUACAACCUAUUAAUACAGGGCAUACGGUCGAAACAUAAUAUUUUAUAAAUUCAGUGAAUUUCAAAAUAAUCACAUUUUAAAUCAUUUUAGCUAAUUAUAUUGAAGAUGCUCUUAUAAUAUAUUUAAUUUUAAAAAAUAUUCUAUAUUAAUUUAUUUUAAUUAAAAAUAUCGGUAAAAUUAUUGAGAAAAUGCGAAAUAUAACACUUUUUCAGGAGUCAAGCUCAAAAUGACCAUCUGCGAAAAAGGUGCCCAUUUUACCCACUCAAAUGCGCAUUUCACAUAUGCGUAUGUACAUUUUUAAAAAAAAUAUAAAAAACACGUAUAUAUACGAUGCGCAUGCACUGUGCACAGUAUUGGCAUACGCAUUCCCCACAUGCGUGAAUGUGCUAAGUCAACAGCAUAUACGCACACGGAGGACGCGUAUUCUUUGUUUUUUCUUUGUUCACUACACACGCAUACGGUGAAUGCGUGUUUGAGUGGUCAUUUAGAGCACUGUCCGUGCACAUGAUCAUUUUGAACAGUGUUAGUGUAAAGUGGUUAUAAAAGGCACUUAGCCUAAAAUUGUUAUGAAUAUAUAUUUUGAUAUCAUUGAUUAUUUAUGUUUUAAAUAUUAGUAUUUAAUUAUUUGAAUAAAUAUAAAAAAUAAAAUGAAGUUGAUUUUCAAACUUCAUGUAUGGAUUUGAUAUUGUAUUUUUUAUAAACAAAUAUUGGGCAUGAUUUUGGAAUUGGAUAAAACCCGUACCUUUCGUAAAUCAAACGACUCUUUAGGAUACUCAUAAUUUAUUACUCCCUCGGUCCCCUCUAUUUCAUUACACUUUCCUUGUUGGAUAUCCUAUCCAAUUCUUUAAAUUUCAAAAUUUACCGAAAAUAGUCAAUGGGUCCCUCCACUUUUCUUUCUUUUUCACACUACUUUUACUCCAAUAUCAUCUUUUUAUACAUUAAAAAUCAAUGAGUCCCACCACUUCACCUACCUUUUUUUUCCUCUUUUUCACUAUUUUAUGCAUAUUUCUUAACCUCCGUGUCCAACCCAUUUGAUAAGGUAUGGGAGGGACGGAGGGAGUAUUUAUAAUUAUGAUAUCCGCUUCCCUUUAAUUCUAUUCACUUUUUUCUUCAAUUUUAGCUAUAUUUUUUUAAAGAUAAAAUAUAAAUAUAAAUAUAAAAUAAAUACAAAAAUGGAUUGUUGUCUCAAUCAAUAUAUUAAUUUUUUAGAAAUAGCAUAUUUUUAUUUUUAUUUUAAAAUUAUUUAGGAGAUGCUCUUUUAAACGAAUACAUGCUUGCAUUAGAGCAUCUCCAAUGUGCUCCUCAAACAAGCUCUUAAGUCUAAAUUUUAGGAGGAUAUGAAAAAUUAGAGUUCCAAUAGACUCCUAGUAACUUUUUAAAAAUUGAGCAAUGCUAGGUACCCCAAAAGAUUUUCCCAAAAAUUGUUACCAAAUGAUGUGGCAAACAAGUGGAGAGUUAUGAUUGGGUGAUGACUGAAUCCACAAGGGGGCCUCAUUAUUUUGGGAGUAAAUGCAACCAAUCAGGAUUAGACACCUCAUUUGGUAAAAAAAUUUGGGACAAUUUUUUGGGGUCCCUAGCAUUUUCCUUAAAAAUUUAAGAGUUUUCUCUCUCUCCUUUCUUUUUAAAGAGCAUCUAGGUGCGCUCCUAACUUAUUUUCAUUGAAUAAAAUAAUCACUUUAUUCUAUUUCUGUUCACCUUGCUCUAAUUCUCUCUCCAACUUUUCUCUUAAAUAGUAAUAAAAUAUGAGUUAAGAGCAAGUAUAAAGGGCAUGGUUGAAGUUGUCACGAUAUUCAAUGUAUUACUGUAACUUACUAGGAGCCACAUAUUAUAUUAUUUUUUUAAAAAGAACUUAAGAGCACCAUUGGACAUGCCCUUAAAAUGAGAGAGGGGCGAAUGGGAAAGGAACCUAAAAAGAACGGCUGCUGGGCCGCUGUCUCUGUAUCGUGUACAUUCGACCCAAUAGCUACUUGGAUGCAGCCCGGAGUUUCUAGAUUUACUGCGACGUUUUCAAAUCAUACAUGUUCACAAUUCAAAGUUCAAAUGAAUAAUGAUGAGCCAGAUGUCCCAUUUAUUCCUGCGGGGACGGUGAUAGCUUUGCAUCUGUCAGAAACGUGACGUAGUUUUUUGCGCUCCUAGACUCAAUUCUAGAUCUGUUUUAAGAGCACCCACAGUGCUUGGGGUUACUUUCUUUACUUUCUGAUCCCACGCAAAAGCCACGUAAGCAAAAGAGGUUCUGUGAAAUAAAAUGGUCUCGUGCCUCCAAUGCUGAGCCCAUUUCACCUCUUUUAAUAAAAUUCUUUUAAACUUUAUGGGUCCCGCAAUGCAGUAAUUCAGCCGAACUUAAGUGAACAAUUGAUUAAUAAAAAACUAAAGAAACCAAAAUGGCCAGGGACGGCGAAGAGGCACCGGGCCACUUCCUUCUUAUUCAUUCAAGGUUGUCCAGGGUCAUUUCUAUACAGCCAAGACAGUUUGCGCAUCCCAAGACACCAAGUGACCCUCCGUUGCUGCUGCUGCUCUAAGUUAGAUGACUGUUUGUUGGGUGUAUUUUCAUGAGCACAUGUUAAACAUUAAAAUAUAUAAAUUCGAUUGUUUGUUGCGAUUCUCAUAAAUGCAGGGAUCCAUUAUUAUUAAAGAGGAUUAAACGAUCAAAACAAAAGAAAUUUAUCAAUUUUUGUAUAUAUCAUAUACUCAUGAACACACCUUUAUCAAAGUUUUUUUUUUGACAAAGGUCUUAUUACAAUUUUAAUAAAAUUUCUUAAAUAUUUAUUAUAUUUAAUUGUCAAAAGUCGUGACUAAAGAAUUAUAUCUGACUAAAGAAUUAUAUCUGACUAUAAUACAAGUCAAAAUAAUUAUUGAAUACAUAAUAUUAUAUAUUUUAAUAUAUUACAAAUUUGAUUAAGGAUCGAUUUUCACUUGACCGGAAAAAUAAGUAGAUAAGGAUAAAUUUCAAGACAUAUACGUGUAAUUCUUUCUUUUAUAUAGUUAUUAAUUUAUAUAUUAUAAAUAUUAAUGGUGUAUUAUAAUUCCGCAUUUUGAGGAAAUAUUAGUGUAUUUUAAAAAUAAUAGUUAAGUUAUAAAAAUAGGGUUUCCAUUUGGGUUGGGAUUUAGGUAAUAUCCAUUUCUAAAGAUUUCCGAUUUCCCCGAAUCUGAUUUAAAAUUUCUCAGAUUGGGUUCUGAUUUUCAUUUUUGUGUAUUUUUUAAAAAUAGGUUUGAAUAUAGAUUUGUAUAAGCAAGCAAGUCAAUACUCUCUCUGACCCAUUUUAACUGAUAUUUGACUUUUUAACACGUAUAUUGAGAUGUAAAAAUAAUAAUAUAUACACUCAAUAAAAAAAUUAAAUUCUUAUGUCAAAUAAAAGUUUAGAUUCUAAAUAUUUAUUUAAUAUAAAUUUAUAAUAAAUAACUAUGUUUAGAUGUGAUUUUUUUAUAUCUUAAAAUAUGUGUAAAAAAGUCAAAAGGAUUUAAAAAAGGACUGAGAGAGUAUCAUUUUUGAAUUCGAAUUAUAAAUGAAAUCGAGGAGGCAAGUUGAGAAUAUUAAUUAGCAUAUUAAAUCUUUUUUUUGGACAGAAAAUACACUUGCUCGUAUCGAUAAAACGCCGAUACUCCGAGGAGAAUCCUUCAUUUAAAAAAGCUUAUCAUCUAACCGAAAGACAUGAAAAUAUCUCCGGAAGUUUAGACAAUAAGACCUUAAUGUCCGAAAAGAAAAUGUCCCAACUUGUAAGACCACGCUACCUGAAACAAAUACAAUUGAUUAAUAACAAUAAAAAACAAUAAAUUUAAUAAUUAAAAUCAGUAUAGUUUAUCAAAUCAAAAGAUGGUAAAAGUGAAUGAAAUGAUAAAUAUAAAAAUAAUUCGACAAAAACAGAAGAUAAUAUAGGAAAAAAAACAGAAAAAAAAAUAUCUAACCAAAGGGAGACCCUUUGGCUAGAUAUAUAACAAGAUAAAUAAUCACUAAGAAUAAUUAAUGAUAACGGUAUUAAUCAAUAAAAUUGUAAUCUUCAAUAAAUAUCUAAAAUUUUAAGUAACAAAUUAAAUAAAAUGUAAUAAGCAAGCCAACAAAAUGACACUGAAUUGCCGUUUAUUAGGCCAAGAAUAUACGCCAUCAAUCAUGGCCACCCAUAAACGGUACAAAUAAAAGCCAAAUCAAGAUUGCAAGUCAAUAUAUACCAGUUAACAUAAUGCAUUAAACUCCAAUCAAUGAGAAUUAAAGCAUUUAGAGCAUAUAUAUAUACAAGCUUCCGAGAAAAAAUAAAAUUCAAAGAUUAACGCCAAUCAAGUGAGUCAACUUACCAUUUAAAAAACUAAAAUUUAAACUGCAAUAACUACUAUUAAAGCCAAUUUAAUAUAAUAAAAGAGGGCAAAAACCUUACCAAUUUUACAAAGCAAAGCCUUUAAUCAUGCAAUAAAAUUAAUGAAAAUAUUUUCAGAAUCACGCUAAUCGAUACUACCAUCUUAUCAUCACCAACCAUGAGUCAAUUUACCAUUUAAAAAACUAAAAUUUAAACUGCAAUAACUACUAUUAAAGCCAAUUUAAUAUAAUAAAAGAGGGCAAAAACCUUAUCAAUUUUACAAAGCAAAACCUUUAAUCAUGCAAUAAAAUUAAUGAAAAUAUUUUCAAAAUCACGCUAAUUGAUAUUACCAUCUUAUCAUCACCAACCAUCACCAUAUCUCGUCAAGUCACUAACAAUAAUGAUGAAUAAAUUCUAACCUAAGAAGAUCAUAAAACACAAUUGCAAAUAAAACUUGUGACUCAAAAAAUUGAUAAGAAAACAACAUAUUAAACACCUAAUAUACAUCAUAACUUUGACUACACUUCACCAAUAUUCUCAUCUACCAGAUAAAUCAAAAAAGACAAAAUUAUGACAUAAAACAACGCCUACAACAAUUGAUAAUCGCGCACAAAUACAAACUUAGAAAAUCCGAAUAUCACAUCAAGACUUUUAAAAACAUAAAGUAAUAUUGAAUAUAUUAAGAAAACAAAUAAUCACAUAAACAUGUAAAUUAAGAAUCGGAAAAAUUACACCUUUACUUUUGAAUGUCGAAAUCUUGACAUGUAGAUCCAUAGAUGAGCCCUAACGCGACGAUUAGAAUACGUGUGUAUCAUAUUUGUUGGGAAAGAAUCACCAGCACUCCUUUUCUCGUUCCAUUAUCGUGAUGCAUGAUCGGAUCUAAUUGAAGGGCAACCCUCCACAGAACCGGAGUUGAUAAUAGAGUUAGAGUUUGUAUUAUUGUAGGCAUUCUGGUGGAACAAGAAGGAUCAAGUGUUGGUGUUCUUGUUUUCUAUUUCUAUGGUUAAAUAGGAUAAAACGUGUGAUAAACAAAGGUGUAUUUGAUGUCCCUGCAGAGGUAGACUAUUUUGCAGUUUAAUGAGCUAGAGUCGCCGAUUAUGGCUUUUGGGAGGGUACCUAAUGAAAUACGAGCUGCAAAGAUCCUACCGCUGCUGUUUGAGGAGUUGCAAAGGGAGUCAUACUCAGAGGGAUGUUUGGUAAUUAGCAUAUUAAAUCUAAACUCGAAUAAAUUGAUUAAAAUGUGCCUCACGUAUAACGAAUGUGUAUAUAUAAGAACUAGAAAAUAACAACAGUGUUAAAUGUAUUUUUGAUAUACAGGCUUGAGAAAAAAGCCCACACUCUUCUCCCCGCACCCGCUCCUUUUUUCUUUUUUUCGUUCACAACCGUAGGGGCUUCCACCGGAUCUCUACCGGUGAAAAGCCUCAGACAGUUUUUAUUUUUUUGUUUUCUUCUUUCUUUUAAUAAAUUUUGUAAUUUUCCUAAGGAUCUUUCUUGUUAGGUGAGAUUGAUCCAAUUUUUUUUAAACUUUGGCAUUAGUUUAUUUUUCGGAUCUAAGGAUUUAAAGCCUUUUUCGAUUUGAUCUUUUUUUCUUAGAUCUUAAUUUCACGGAAGUUCUUUCAGGUGAUUUUAUUCUAUAAAGUGGUCCGAGUUAUUUUGUUUUGUGCUUUUGUUCCUUAGAUCUAGGGAUUUUCUUGGUUUAAUUAGUAUUUUAUUUAAGUAUUUACAAAUCUGAAGUUGUUAGUUUAUCACGUUUAGUUCGUGUUUAAUUUUGGUUUUUUAUGUUGUCUCACCUUUUGUGUGAGUUUUGUUAUUUUCUUACCAUUUGUGUGAGUAUGAUGCUUUAUUUUAUAAUGAAAGUUGUUAGGGGAUUGCAUUCUCAGUCGAUAGCUCAAACUGGUUGUGGCGGAAGCAAAUGUGACGAAGUAUGUGUACAUAUCAUCUUCAACAAAUCACGUGAUAUUAUCUCUAAGAAGAAUGGAUUGAUUAGUGAUUGUUUCUGUGUUUUGUUUGUUUAACGCGACUGUUUAUAUAGCUGCCGUAUGGUUUUUUUUAUUAUUAAAUUAACUCGUUUAUCAAAAAAAAAACGAAUGCAUAUAUAUGCAAACCUUUUCUGUAAUAUACGAGUAUUUCAGAAAACUGAACAGAGAGAUGGGUAUAACAAACAGUCAAACACACAAUAAAUCAGGCACUACCACACGGGUAGUCCAGCCCAAAGUGUGGUGUAAAGUGUAAACAUAGCCUUUUUCCAUGUCAUUGAAGCCGGACCGGGGAAGGACUAAGGACCCAGUUGGAGGCUGUGGAAGAGUCGGGUUUGGGAUUUAGAAUUGAGAUAUGUUUUUUGGCAAAAAAAAAAGAAUUGAGAUAUGUUUGGCCUUUGGGCCUUUUCUUUUUAUUUCAAAACUUAUAUUAUAAAAUUAUACAGAUGAUGCAUGAAGUCAUGAACAGAAUAAAUUAGCCGAAUUUGUCUCAGGAUAAUGUCGUAUUUGUAGUUUGAACAAUUGCCGGUGCUCUUUCAACAUUAAUGUAUUCUGUGAUAUUUGAGAGUUAUUUUGGUUAUCAAUUUAAAAUUUAUAAUGUUAUUAAAAAAAUUUAUUGACAAUUUAAUAAAACUUUAAGCUAACUACAAAAAUUAGUGAUCAAAUAUUUAUAAUUGUAUUAAAAAGAUCCUUUAAUUUGGAUCUAUUUGAGUUCAUUCUCUACCCAGACUUAUUAUGUUAUACCAAAAACGGCAAGACCAAACAUAUGUUGUGCUGGAUUGAAAUGAUAUGAUUAAAAUAAAAAAUCUAAAUAUCUAAAUAUUAGAAGCAGGUAAAAGUGAUUUGAACAAGUUUGUGUAAUUCGGUCAAUAUAUCAUUUUCUUCAAAUUUACAAAGAUAAUAUCAAUUUUUUUUAGACAUGUCACGUGAUAAUAUAAGAAAUGAGAGGACGAUCAAAAUAAAAAUUGUAAACAAACGAAGGAGAUAGAGAGAGUAUUUGUUAUAUAUUAUGGGGACUAUAUCUGUUACUGAAAAUUUUAACGUAUUCGAUGCGGUUGAAUUAAAAUUUGAGAUCGGUAAGAAUAUUCGUAAACAUAAAAUCGUUAAUGGGCCUUUUUGUUUGACAGAAGCCGCUUCUCUUUUAGUUUCUGUUUUUCUUGACCCAUUUGUAUAAAGAAGUACAAGCAAGAAACUGAAAAUCCUAACUCCUCUCUUACGAGUCCGGAUCCUCUGUCUCCUCUAUGUGUCUCCUUAUAUAUCCUAUCUUUUUUAUUGGUCAGUUUUGUAUAUCCCUUCUUUUUUAUUAAUCAGUUUUUUACCUUGAGCACGUGAUAUAUAUAUAGUUUCUCUUUAAUUUUUUCUCGGAUAGUCUUUCACUGUUAAACUUUUUCAAAUCUAUAUAAGGUCGUUCUUAGAAUUAUUAAAAUAUUUUUUAUAUAGUACAUAAUCAACCAAAUUCUUUUAUAUGACAUAAAUAUAAUAUUAAAAAGUAAUUUAUACUAUUAUAUUUUCUAUAUUAAAUAAUUAAUUAAAUUUUCGAAAACAUAUUUUUAAUAUGAUUAAAUUAGAAAGCAAAAAUAUACUUUAUUUAUGACUAAAAUUAUAUCAAAAUAUUGAAAUGUUUUCUUAUAUAAUAUUUAAUCUACUAAAACUAAAUUCUAUAUAAUGAAUUUUUUUGUAAAGCAAAUUUAUUGGUAUAGAAAGAAAUUCACCCAUACAUUUUUUAGAGAAGCAACUAAUACAAAUUUUUUUGAUAAAAUAUAAACUGUACAUCAUAGAGCUAAUAUUUUAUGCAACAAAACAACAUGACUGAGAAUAUAAAAAUUGAUGUAUAAACAGCAAAACAAAAAAGAGAUAGAGGAUCACGUGGGAUGUAAAUAAACUGGCCAAUAAGAAAGAAGAGACAUAGAAAGAGACACAAUAAGGAGACAGAGGAUCCAGACUCAGUUAAACCAAACAACUAACAAACUAACAAAAGUAAAAAUAUUCUUACAUUCAAAUAUUAUAUUCGGUAUAUUUACUUAAUCUUUUAAGAUAAAAGCAAUACUCAUACAUUAGAAAAAAUAAAAUAAAAUAAAUAAAUACCUNNNNNNNNNNNNNNNNNNNNNNNNNNNNNNNNNNNNNNNNNNNNNNNNNNNNNNNNNNNNNNNNNNNNNNNNNNNNNNNNNNNNNNNNNNNNNNNNNNNNNNNNNNNNNNNNNNNNNNNNNNNNNNNNNNNNNNNNNNNNNNNNNNNNNNNNNNNNNNNNNNNNNNNNNNNNNNNNNNNNNNNNNNNNNNNNNNNNNNNNNNNNNNNNNNNNNNNNNNNNNNNNNNNNNNNNNNNNNNNNNNNNNNNNNNNNNNNNNNNNNNNNNNNNNNNNNNNNNNNNNNNNNNNNNNNNNNNNNNNNNNNNNNNNNNNNNNNNNNNNNNNNNNNNNNNNNNNNNNNNNNNNNNNNNNNNNNNNNNNNNNNNNNNNNNNNNNNNNNNNNNNNNNNNNNNNNNNNNNNNNNNNNNNNNNNNNNUUCUUAGAAUUAUUAAAAUAUUUUUUAUAUAGUACAUAAUCAACCAAAUUCUUUUAUAUGACAUAAAUAUAAUAUUAAAAAGUAAUUUAUACUAUUAUAUUUUCUAUAUUAAAUAAUUAAUUAAAUUUUCGAAAACAUAUUUUUAAUAUGAUUAAAUUAGAAAGCAAAAAUAUACUUUAUUUAUGACUAAAAUUAUAUCAAAAUAUUGAAAUGUUUUCUUAUAUAAUAUUUAAUCUACUAAAACUAAAUUCUAUAUAAUGAAUUUUUUUGUAAAGCAAACUUAUUGGUAUAGAAAGAAAUUCACCCAUACAUUUUUUAGAGAAGCAACUAAUACAAAUUUUUUUGAUAAAAUAUAAACUGUACAUCAUAGAGCUAAUAUUUUAUGCAACAAAACAACAUGACUGAGAAUAUAAAAAUUGAUGUAUAAACAGCAAAACAAAAAAGAGAUAGAGGAUCACGUGGGAUGUAAAUAAACUGGCCAAUAAGAAAGAAGAGACAUAGAAAGAGACACAAUAAGGAGACAGAGGAUCCAGACUCCUCUCUUACACUGCUUAUUUUCCAAAAACUUUAUUCACUUACCAAUUAUCUAAUUUAAGCAAGCAGUCACUUCUUUUAAUUUGUCUAGACGGCCUUAAUAUACCGGGUUUCAACGAUUUGAAUUCAACCAAUUUUUAAUUUUUAGAGUCAAGUAAAUACAAAUAUUCAAAAACAAACAACAUCGAUCUCUUUUGUUCUUUCCCAUUUUUAUAAUUCCCUGACAAUGAUAGCUUGCAUUCUUAAUUCUUCUUCCUUCUCGAUAACCUUCUCUCCCUUGACUUUUUGAGAUAUGGGUCCCACGCACCACAUCACCCAGCCGUACAUUUUAAUCUCUACGGUGUUCAGAGAUCCCUAUAUUUUAUAAAUUUAUUGUACAUAAGACUAUAGUUUAGUUUCCACAUGAACAGUCACCUUCUCUUGUACACUUGCUAUAUUUUAAUAUGUAUAGUUAUGUUGUAUAUAAUAUAGUUUCGCUCUGUAUUAUCUAUAUGCCAGAGGAGAGAUUUCAUUAUAGAAUCUGGAGCAGGUCAGGGAGCUACCCUAUUGGUAAGUUUCAUGAAUUGCUUAGAUCAUGUUGUUAUUUUGUGUUUUUAGAUUUUUUGUUUCAUGGGGUUGUUUAUUUUGUUAAUUUGAUUAAUGGGUAUUUUUUAGUUUUUUAAUUUAUCAUUAUGCUUGAUGGUGGUUAUAGCUUGUUUAUACAUGCAAUGAUCUUUGUUUAUUUAGUAGGUUGGUUGUAUGAUUGUUAGUAUUGUUUGUGUGUGUUGAGGAUCAGCGUUUGUUGAGAUCAAAUUACAGCAGAUUGUGUUGGUAGGGAUCUUAAUUUUGAUUGCAUAAAGAUUGGGGUUUUGUUGUUUGUGAUAAAUUGAUUUGAGCAUUAAAAUAUAUGGUUUUUGUCUGAACUUGAAGGUUUGUUUGACUUUUGGUAUGGUGGUGGUUGGUGAUCUUGGAUUUUGGUAUUUGUCGAUUUGAAGGUGUGUCAUGUUUGCUGAUGCUGUAUUAUAUUCGUUGCCAUGGAUUUGAGAAUAUUGGUCAUGUGGUGGAGUUCUUGACCUUUUGGUGAAGGGUAAAAUACUUGGUGGUUUGCUUAUACUCCGGAGGAUUAAGAAUGGAGGAACAGAAUUCGUGGAUACGGAGGACGAAAUAUUCUCAUAGUGUCUACCAACGUUCGGGCUCUGCAAGACCGGAUCCAGGUUCUUUCCAUCAUUCUAGUCAAUUUUUGGGUGUCAGAUCAAGAGUUGUGCCUGGUUCUCAUCUGCAACCAAUAGAGUCUAGUGUUUCCGAGGUUCAGAAAAGUCUUGAAAUGAACAAGCAUUCUAGUCAAUUUUCAGGUGUCAGGUCAAGAGUUGUGCCUGGUUCUCUUCUGCAAUCAAUAGAGUCUAGUGUUUCUGAGGUUCAGAAAAGUCUUGAAAUGAACAAGAUCAAGGCUGUAUCACCUCAUGUUAGCCCUCCCCAAACAGCUUUCGAAGAUAAAUUUGAUCAGAACAAAUUGUCAACUGAAACUCUUGGAACUGAUUCUCCUUCACAACAAUCAGGUUCUGGUGCUCCUCAGCUUCGACGUAGUUCUGGAAGAAGCAAGUUCAGGGCUGUAUCUCCUAUUACUCAGACCAAAAUUCCCCGGACAUUUAAGGAAGCAAGAUCCAAUAGCAAGAGAUUCUCAACUCCACAGCCAGUAAGACGAGCUACUGAAAAGGGAGUUCUAGCCAAGUUCUUGCACAAAGAUUCGUGUGAGAAGAGGGCUCCUAUCUAUAUGUCAAGCACCAACAUUGGGGAGCUUGGGCACUUCGCUGCAAUGAAUAUAAAUGAUAAGAAAAAGGGCCGGAAGGAGUCAACAUGGACAAAGUACUUUGAUCAUGCUGGGGGACGGGUCACUGCUAUUGAAUCAGCUGAUGAGUGGAUGGUGGAUCUUUCUAAGCUAUUUCUUGGGCUUAAAUUUGAUCAUGGGGCAUAUAGUCAACUGCAUCACGGAAUCUACAAGGACGAACCUGUAGCUGUAAAAAUUAUUAAAGUACCAGAUGGUGAUGAAAAUGGAGAUCUUGGAGCUAAACUAGAGAAGCAAUAUACAAGAGAAGCAACCCUCUUGUCUCGUUUACACCACCAAAAUGUCAUAAAGGUGACAACUUUUCUAUACAUGUCUUUACUGCUUUAUACAUACAAAACCUAUGGAAAUGCUUCACUUGCAUAACUAUAAUCAAUAUCUGCAUAAUAUAACAACUGCUUUUAAAGAAACGAACUAUCUGCCGUGAAAUAGUUAGUUUUAGCAAUGAAUUAUCUAUCUAGUUAUAUCAUCAAUUGUGUACAGAUCCUGCUUUUUUUUAAUCUAUGAGAAUAGAUGUCCUUUCAAUGCUAAUUAUUGUUCCAAGUAUAUGCGAGUUAUUCAAUUCACAUAAUGGUUUUGCUCAAUUAGUCAAUUGGUCUUAUGUGGCUCACUGAGACACUGACUGUCGACAAUAGUGUUUUAGCUUUAGCAUGUCCAGAAUAAGUUUUAUUUUUGUCACAUACGGUAAAAAUCUACUGGGUUGAAGUAUACAUAUCUAUGCACAAGCUACUGAACAUAUCUGACAGUGGCAUCCACACUUGGGUUACAUAUUCACAUUAAUCCAGCUCUUUUAACAUUUUCUCCAACUUUUUCUAUGGGUAACACAGUUUGUGGCAGCAUGCAAAAAACCACCAGUCUUCUGCAUCAUCACAGAAUAUCUCUCUGAUGGUUCUUUGAGGGCAUACCUGCGCAAGCGCGAGCAGAAACCUCUCUCAUUGGGAAAACUAAAUUCAAUGGCUCUUGAUAUUGCUCGAGGGAUGGAAUUUAUUCACUCACAAGGCAUAAUUCAUAGGGACCUCAAACCUGAAAAUAUACUUAUCAAUCAAGAUUUUCAGCUGAAAAUUGCUGAUUUUGGAAUAGCUUGUGACGAGGCAAAUUGUGAUUCUCUGACUGAUGAUCCUGGCACUUAUCGCUGGAUGGCCCCUGAGAUGCUCAAAUGCAAAUAUUAUGACAAAAAGGUAGACACUUACAGCUUUGGAUUAAUAUUGUGGGAGAUGGUAACUGGAAGCUUACCUUACAAGGAUAUGACCCCCAGCCAAGCUGCUUUUGCUGUUUUAAACAAGGUAAUAUCUUGAGCUGUAUAUCCAUAACUUGCAUAGGAACUGAGAUCUUAAAUUCUUGUGUUAUGUGUACAUCUCUUGUUUAUGUAAUUUUGUAUAUUGAAAAUCAUCACAGUUGCAUGUUUUCAAGUAUUAAUUAGCUUUCAUUUGUCUAACUAAUUAUCUCCUGCCACACUCCCUCUGAUCAAGUGUUAUAUAGGGUGUUUUUUAUGGACAAAAUUGUAGCUAAAUGCUUUACCCAGGACUUAACUGGCGAUGCUUGCUAAUUGCUUAAAAGUAAUAAAAAGUAGGUGGGCGGAACAGUAAAUUUAAAAUAUUAAGUGAGCAAGUUAUAUAGAUCAUCCAUGAUCUUUUCAAAAUCAUUUGGUAGUAGUCGGUUAUCCAUGUGAUCUUGAUCAUAAUCUUUUCUUUGCUUCUAGAGUCGUGUUCUAUGUUUCUCUGUGAAUCUGUUUGAUUCUCUGUGGGAUGGGGUAAAUAUCUAGUUGUUGUCCUUCAUCUAUACUGGUCUGUUUUUUGUUUUUUUUUGUACCUGCUUCUAUGAUCAACUCGUGGAUGAUGUUAUAACUCUGUGAUUCUGACUUUCAAAUAUUGAUAAUGUUAUCUUUGCGUACUCAGAUGAAUGCCCACAUCCUUUGGGACUUCCUCAAGUUUGGGUUCAUCAUUUGUUUUAUCUUAUGCUAUUUACCAUCACUCCAUCAGUAUAAAUUUCGAUGAGCCUGAUGGUUGAUGAGGCUAAUUAUCCUUCACAAAUGUUAUACACUCAGGAUAGUUUUUGUUAUCCUCAGUCUGUGGCAGUGCACAGUGAAAAUCAUUCUUGCUAGUAUUAUUCUCUUCUUUCCUGUUUUUCUGUUUGUCUUCUUUAGAUAGCACCUUUUUGCUAUAUAUCUUCUCCUAGUAAAUGGUCCAAGCUUUAGUGUAUUGUACAAAACCUAAUUUCAGUUUUCACUCUCUCAGAAUUUAAGACCAAUGAUCCCCGAGGACUGCCCCCCUAACAUGGGAGCAUUGAUUGAGCAAUGUUGGUCCUUGAGACCAGAUAAGAGGCCGGAGUUCUGGCAGGUUGUUAAGGUACUAGAGCAGUUCGAGUCUUCACUUGCACGUGAUGGAACCCUAAAUAUGGUACCAAACGCAAUAUGCCAAGAUCUUAAAAAGGGGCUUCUUUAUCGGAUGCAAAAGCUUGCCCCUGUGCGUCCAAAUUCUCUACCAAUGCCCAAGCCUAGAUUUGCAUAAAUUUUCAUCUUGGUUAUCUUGAUCACAUUGUGACAUUCAAGAUCUCAUUUUCGUGUUGUAUUUUUCUUAAACUUGUCAGCAGGUGUGAAUUACCAUAUUAUAGGAAUGCAUUCAUGUUAAUUUUCUGUAGAAAUAAUCAUCAUAUUCAGGACAAGUUAUACCUUGGCCAAAUCUUUUUUUGGAAACGCAGAAUUUGCAUUAGAUCAUCAAAGCGUCAUACAUAAUGCUCUCCUACACCAACCGUGGAGACAAAAAAUCAAUAAAGCUAUUAACCUCGCAAGCAACUAUAGCUAACAAGUGGGCUACUUUGUUAGCUUGCUUUCUAAUAAAAUAAACGAGACAGAAAUGUCCGGGCGACCCUUAUCAGUGAACGACUCUCCUGUAGUAAAUUGCCUGCUUCAAGAAGGUUCUCCGUGUCCUUGCAGAUUGUUUGCAGAGUAAGCAUGGAAUCACAUUCUAUCAUUACAUUCUCUGUUCCUAGCUCCAUCACCCACUUUAUAGCCUCUAAAACACCACGAGCCUCUGCUUCAAACACUGAAAACUCUCCUUCCUGACACAUACACCAAGCUCCGCAGAAUCCUCCCUCAUGGUCUCGUAAGAUCAAUACAAGUGAAUAAUUAGACCUGCUGAUGCGUCUACAUUAACCUUAAAUUGAUUUGCCUCUGGAGCUCUCCGUUGCCUUGCAUCACUGAUCAGUCUCUGAGCUCUUGCAUUUGCAUUUCUACCUUUUGAAAUCCGGGGCAUUCGCAAUUUUCUUGCAUGAAUGUGAGUGUCUUUACUAUGUCGCAACUCGCAAGAACUUCAUAAUAUGUUUCGGGACAUCAUGACUACAGACAAAAUUAUGCUGCCAUUCAUUUCUAGCUCGCUAGAUUGUUAAAGUAUGCAGUCAUUUAUAAACAUACAAAUACCAUAUUAUCAAACAAUUAUUUGAUUUUUACCAAUUUUUAUUGAACAACAUAAUAAUUUUUGAUGAUAUUUUCGAGACAAACAGUUAGUGAGUAACACAAUACUUUUCUUUUCGGUUGGACUAUUUAUCCUUCCUACUAAAAAAAAUUUGAAAGUCAAAAAUUCAAGAAAAAGAAAAAGGUUUUCAUAAGUUUUUUAAUCCUUAACAUUGGAAAAAUGAAUAACUACAUAAUAAAUUUUUAUUAUAUACAUUACUCUUAUAUAAUAAAUAAAUUUUAGUAAAAUUUUAACUAGUUUGACCAAAAGCCAAAUAAGACAACUAUCAGCGAGUACGUGUAAAUACUUUAAAUAUAUUAAAAAAUUAAAAAAAUAAUUAAUAAGUAUAUUCAGUUACCAUAAACUAUCCAGUGAAUUCUCAAAACAGCCACAGUUGAGACGCCAAAAGAAACAAGAAAAAAAGAGCAAGCGUUGAGACUUGAGAGUUGAGUUCAGAGACGAAAAAGGAAAGAAACGAAGCGGGCCCUGCCGGAAAUGUCGAAAGAGCUGGAGCCAGAUGUUACUGGUAAGUCGAAUUCGUCUGGCGUAUAAUAUAAUCAUGUAUACACCUUGAAGCUAUUGUCAUACUUGAUCCUUAUGAUUUCAUGUUGUUAAAUCAUUAUUAUCGUUAUUGUUUUUAUACGCGCCCGUAGUCUUGUUUUCGACAAGGUUCGAACCUUCGACAUCCCAUAAAAUGAUUCAGGUUAGUUGAGGGUAUAUGAUUCACCCAAAUCAACACUCAUACAAGGCAUUUAGCUUAGUUUUCAAAUUUUAGGAGUGGUUUUAUCAAGAAAUCAGCAUCUUGUAUUGUCAAUUGUACAUAAGAAUUGUAUGAUUCAGAUAGGCAGACAAUAUGUAUAAAAUAAAUACGUAAUCAGGUUUAUUAUUCAAACUAUCAAAAUUGCCGAGUCUUUUCAAGUAUUUGUGAUUUGCCUAACUACUGACGGACUGACACUUUGAAAUUAAUUGAGUCUUUAUUAGGGACACCAGUUGAUCAGUUGUAUAUAUGAAAAAUAUUAUUCUCACUUGAAUGUCAUGCAAUGCAGGGUGGGAUGUCUCACUAUGGCGAAGAUUUCACAUGAACACGUAUAUUUGUUGUGUGUCUGUGUGUGGUGCGUGGGUGAAUUUGGUGGAUGCUGGAAUGAAAUGAAACAAAGGGUGCCGUUGAAGUAGAAAGAUUAGUGAUGAAUAAUAGGCUUCAGGGGUAACAGACCUCUGUAAGCUGUCGGUGAUAACUUCAUUGACUCUCAUCACUCAAAUCUUUUCACCAUGUCAGGCAGCAAUUGGGUAAAACCAUCCUCUUCUUUAAUUCAGUAAAAUGAAAUUAGUAGUUAUAUAGUAUUUUCAUAAUAUUCCCUGCUUAUGUUAAUUUGUGGCAAAUUCUUAGAAGAUUGAUUUCUUAUUCCGUUUGCAUUUUAGGGUCAAUUUAGUGUUUCAUAGUUACAUUUCUGUUCUAAAUUUUAAGAUACAUAUCAGGCAUUUCCAUAAUUGCAACAAAAUCAACCUAUUAACAAAAUCUUCCUAUUAAUCAACUAAAUUAACUAAAAUGGGUAGCUCCAAAUAGAGAGAUUUGAACUAGCUGGAUAGAACCAAGCCAUGUAUUUUAGAGUUUAACAAAAGAGAAACCUGGAAAGCCUAAUUCAAGAUCAUACAAGUGCUACAAACUUAUUUUUUGAUUCGCAUACGAAAUGUUAAUAGAACCCCAUUAAAUCUGGAUUUAAUAUAUUAAAACAAAAGUCAAAUCCAAGAACUCGGGCUUAAAAAAAACUUUUGUAACCAAAUAUCUUGAAAAUUUUGCAACUCUACGGACACAGUGAAAUUAACUAUAAUCUGUGGGUUUUGUAGCUCAUACGCUCUCUCUUACCAAGUUAUUCUAUAAACUUACAUAAUCUUUUAAGAGAACCUUUGCUAAAUUUGAAAUUACUUAAGAAUGCUCAGCUUCUUAGAGUAAGUCCAGUACAAUGUUAUUAUACUUGCAUCUAUCACUAUAAUUUGGCAUCAAAUCCAAAAAAAACUCAACUCCAAAGGGGUUUCAUAUUUGGAUGCAGAUAUACAUAAAUGCAUCCUUGCUACAUCAUCAAUAACUAUAAUUGAGAGGAAGAGUUAAACAAUUAUUGCAUUGUACAUCCCCAAAUAUCAAAAGCAUAUUAAAUUGGGUAGCUAAAUCCGAAAUUAGUUUUUAAACUAGCAUUGGAGUGCAACUUUUAUUUCAACACCAAAAAACACAAAACCACUUUUUUCAUACUCUCCGUUUCAUUGGUAGAUUUCCUGUAAAUUUUCCACUUCCUAUAUAGUGAAGUGUGAAAGUGUUCUAAGAUAAGGAUUUGAAAGAUUAGUGGUUCUAAAAGAAAUAAUCUUUGUUGUUAAGGUGUGAGAGGAGAUAUAUUGUUGGUAAUUGUUGAUUAAUUAAUGUUCAAAAAACGUGUUAAUUACAAAUAUUGUGUAUUUAUAAAUAAUUGUGUUCUUAUUGUCUAAGAACGUUUUGAGUCCACUUAAAAAAAUUGUCAUCCAAUUUGGGCUUCAUAAUUUACUAAAAGGGACUAUUGCAGCAUAGGAUGGAUAUAAUCGCGUUGUGACUUGCCAUUCUAUAUCCUAGGAAUUUUAUUUCCAUAUGUUUUUUAAUUGUGAAUUUUAUUGUGGUUUCGUCGACAACUCGGUUGUAUUGGGAGUGCUGUUGGAAUCUUGGCUGUUACCUUUCUCAACCAUUUACCUUUUAUUGCUAUUUCCAAUUUGAAUUAGGAGUCUGAAUGUCUGAUAUUUAUUUUUUUGAUAUCCGUUUACUGCUUGUAAAAGACUACUCAUUUUAUACGUUUUAGUUUGCUCCUAUGACUAAAUUUAUAUAUUAAAUUAGUUUAUUGUUUUAUUGUUUAAGAAAAUUACAGGAUGUAUACAACAAAGUGAGAGUGGGAGAGACGGUUUUUUUUUGUACGUAGGACCAAUAGAAGGCCGCUUAUUCUCUAUUUAUGUUGAGGCAAUAUUUGUUUAUUGCAAAAGUAAACAUAGAUACACAUUUUUAGGAGAAAAGAAAUGAAAGGUAAAAAGGGGGCAGCUAUCCCGCCGGAAACGGUGAAGAUGAAAACCCUAGAGUGUGAGGUGUUGAGAGGAAGCUUGUCGCCGUCGAAUACAAGAAAGUUUAAAUUGAGCACCAGGCAUCGGGAGGGUAACCAACCUCUCUACGGCAUUUCUUACAACUUCCUUGACUCUCAUCUCUUCGAUCUCUUUGCUACUGUCGGCGGCAAUCGGGUUGGUACCCCCAUUCCUUCAGUUUGUCUAUCUUAUGUCCCUGAUUUUUAUAGUGUAAAAAUUGAAUUUUGUCAUUUUUCGUUUCGCCUUAGAUUAGUUUGUGGAUUUCUUUCUGAAUAUGAUUUCUUUCACAUUAUUAUGUAAUUUAUGUUUAUAUUUUUUAUCUGUUUUGCUGCUGUUGUAAUUCAUACACCAAGGUCUUCUACACAUAUCAUAUUGUUUUAGAAAAAAUUCAGUAUAUGGUUGUACUCUUACUAGAGCGAAGUUCCCUAGAACAACUCCGCUCAGAGAUUGAGAGGUUAAAACAAAAUGUAUAACCUAGAGUGAAAUCGACAACUAGAGGAGAGAGAAAGAGGUAGGACUCACGAACUCAAAAAUCAAAACUCGUGCCUAAGUGCCAACUACAUCUCAGCGAAUUGACCAGUUAUACAACUGGUUUUGUUAGCUACGUCAAGUUGUCAACAUAUUCAACGCCUACUUUUGUGAACUUACUUUCAAAACGUAUACUUAUUAAUGAUGACAGUUCAUUACUCUCCAUGCUUGUAGCCUGAUGUCCAGUAUUGUCUCAACUUUAUACCCAUUAUUGUGAACCUAGCAAAUCAGGUUUUUUUUGGCAAAGCUGAGGUGCCAGCAAGUCCCAACCGAAGUUGGGAUUCUCCAAGUGUAGCUCUACUGUUAUAUCUCUCUUGUUUUUGUUCCUUACUUGCAAAAGGGAUUUGGGAAGGGGACUUAAAAUACCUAUGGGAUACAUAAUGAUCUACUCUUAGGGGUAGCUGCUUCUUUUUUGGUUUUUUCGUGCUUAUAUAGGCAUGUUUGAUCAAAUUAUUAUUGUUGGAGUGUUAUCAUUUGCUUAUUCUAUUCAUCUUAACAGGUGAAUGUUUACCAAUGCCUUGAAGAAGGUCGUAUCGCUCUUCUCCAGUCUUAUGUCGAUGAUGAUGUAAGUAGAUAUGUAUAAAAUGACCGACCUUGUAUAGCAUAUCUGUGUUUGUGUGUUUAGUGCAUGCAUCGGAUUUUGUAUUAGCACCAAAAGUUCUGAAAACCAACUCAAUUUGUUGCGUAGGUGAACGAGUCCUUUUACACAGUAACCUGGUCAUGUAACCUUCAAGGGAAACCAUUAUUGGUGGCUGGAGGAGUCAAUGGUGUAAUUCGAGUCAUUGAUGUUGGAAAUGAGAAGAUACACAAGGUAUGCACCUCUAUAGUUUCUCGUAAUUAUUUAGUUAUUCAUGUGUGAAAGAAGCCUGUAACUGCUACACGUUACACCCAGUGGCGGAGCCAGCCCAUGCUCUUAGUGGGAGUCAAAAAUUUUUGAAAUAAAAAUAUAUAAUAUCCAAUUUAAAAUGGCUUAUAUUCACCUAAUAAUUAUAAUAAUUAUUAUAUAUAUAACUCUUGACAUGUUAGAUUGGAAAGUCGAAAGAUAAGUGUUAUUAAAAUAUAAAAAAAUGAACAAAUUUUACACCUAAAUUAUUGGGCCAGUACGAGUACGACAGUUGUUAUGAUGAUAGAUUAUAAAUUCUAGUUAAAUAGUUACACCUUACAGCAAAACAUAUAUACAUAUGGAAAUAGUAGACAUUGCCACUGCUGAGAACAAAAUUCAUAAAAAUAUGUAUAACAGUGUCUUAAAUAUGAUCUCACUUUAUUAAUUAACAUUUAAAUUUAAAAGUGUAUAGUAUUAAGUACUCAACUCAUCAUACAUCGCCAUAUUAUGUCUCAUGCAGCCCAGUUUUUGCAUCUGGUCCAUUUUAGUAUGGCGCUAUUUGAUUAUGCCUGAAUAUGCAUCUUUUCGGCUCUUCUACACUUUUACCGAAUGAAAUCACAUGAACAAGCACUCAAGGAUUCCAUGUAACUACUAAAUUUUUUUAUAAAUCCUAGCCGGGUCCUGUCACCCCGCCUGCCACUGUUUACACCUACCAGCAUCACCAUAAAUAUCUANCCCCCGCCUGCCACUGUUUACACCUACCAGCAUCACCAUAAAUAUCUAAAAUCUUUAAAGGGAUUGAACAAUUUAAACCUUUAUGAUAACGUUUGAAAUUUGUUUGAUUUUUAGUAAUUUAAGGUAUCAAGAUAUCAACUUACGACUCCCUACAAAAGUGAUUCCUCAUUCCCAUGAUAAUUCCAGAUCUCACAACAAAAGAUUGAUGGGGACUCUUUUUUGGGACUAACCUAGUAUUAAGCACAUAGUAAAAACAGGGUGUCAAUCUGUUUUGUUUGGACUCUGGACAUGGUAAAGUGAUUUCUAUCUACCAUAUUUUCGUUCCCAGAGGGAGUUUAUUUUCCGGGGGGGGGGGGGGGGGGGGGAUGGUACAUAUGCAAAACUAACAGUUCUUUGUUUCUGCACAUUUAUCUGAAAAGCACACAAAGAAUUUUUAUGUCUUUCAUUAAUUAGAAAAUCACAUUUCAUGGCACUUUCCCCUUGCUUGACAUGCUUAUGCAAACUCUUGCUCCAAUGCAGUCCAUCGUCGGUCAUGGUUACUCAAUAAAUGAAAUCAGGACCCAGAUGUUAGAACCAUCGCUUGUACUUUCUGCCAGCAAAGUAAGCACUGCGACCUUUUACUUUUAUGUCCUGUACCUUAUACAUUCUUCUGUAGCCAUGCUUAUAAUUUAUAUCAUGUCUACUUCGGAAUAGGAUGAAUCUGUUCGUCUAUGGAAUGUCCAGACUGGAGUAUGCAUUUUAAUAUUUGCUGGAGCUGGAGGGCAUCGAAAUGAAGUCUUGAGUGCGGUAUUAUAGGAAUUGCGACUUCUAAUACAUUUGAAAUUCACUACACUAUCCUUAAUGUUAAUUGAUAGAUUUUCUUUUGAGAUAUCACCUGAAAUGGUUUGGUAUAAAUCUUUCAGGACUUUCACCCUUCAGAUAAAUAUCGCAUAUCAAGCUGUGGUAUGGACAAUACUGUCAAAAUCUGGUCAAUGGAAGGUAAGUUAAUUUUUUAUGGUUUAUCAUUUUCAUAUCUUAAUGUGAUAGACUAUAUAACGUGGUAGUACUGAGAAUUCUCUAUUGUACAUUUAUAUAUAUGUAGGCUUGUGUUCAUCAAACUCUACCAAAGUGAUUUAUGUAUGUGUUUUUUUGUGUGUCUGUGCACACACGCAGAGCAAUGUAGAACUCAGGGUAUGCCACGGUGUAACCCGAGAUUUACAUAGUUCGACGUUGCCUAGUUGUAAAUAGGUUUGGUUGGUCCCAAGCCCUUUCCCUAUUGGAUAGGUUUUGGUUUUGAAUCCCUCAAUGAACUUUUUUUUUUUUGAGAUGCAUUUUAAUAUACUGCCUCCACCACUGUGUGUGUUUUGUGAGGUAUUUAUGGGUUGCAACAAUUGCAAUGAAAUUAGGGCAUGUUUGUCUGGUCUUUUUUGAUAAAUAUAAGGACUUAUUUCGGGGAGAAAUUUUAUAUUUAUAUAACAUUUUUUAGUAUAACAUAUUUUGUCGAACUAUUAGAAUUAACGUUUACACUGUUAAACUGCAUCUUCACUGGAAAGAACUUAUAUAAACUUUUUGUCCAGGAAAAAUUAUUGCAUAGUCAUCAUUAUCUAAUUUUAUCAUCAUAAUACUCAGAUAAUAUUUUCACACCUCCCUGAUUAGCUACUUAUGUUGUGUUUGGUUGGGGUGAAUGAAUUUGGAAGGAAUGGAAUGAGAUUUGAACUAGGGUUGCGUUCACUUGGAUGGAAUGGAAUAAGGAGAGAAUGAAAUUAAAAAUUAUAAAGAAGUUUUACGGAGAAAGAAGAGAGUAUGAGUCUAUGAGAAAAUAGUGACUAUACAUAAGUGAGUCUAAAUUUUCUAUGAUGAAGAUUGUAAGGAAACAUGAUGUUGAAGUGGAAUGAGUAUUCCUCCCAAAACAUGUGGGUUAGAUUUCUAGUUCAAAUAUUUUGGAAUGGAAUGAAUUAAGGAAUGAAAAUGUGUAGACGUUUUCUCUAAUCAUUCCCAAUUGAGAGUACAAAUUUCAUUCCAUUCCAUCAAAGUGAACACAACCUAAAUUAUGGACGAAUUUUCGAAAAUUUCAUUCCUUCCCUCAUUUCAAUUUUUGGAUCCUAAACUAGAGCUCAAACACACCAAUUUAAGAAGGAAUGCUUCUCUCACCAAUACCCACUUUCUUCUUAAUUUCCAUUUUAAAAAUUUUGCACAGUCGUUUUUUUUUUUCCAAAAAUUGCAUUCUCCCAAACCAAACACAACAUUAAUAAUAAAUUGAAAUUUAUGCCCUUGUCAAUUGUUCAAUUCCAUUUUAAUGUCCCGUUAUAUUCUGCACAAUCAUUAAAGGUGCAUUAUAAACCAAAUUUGAUUAUGAAAAAAAGUCAAACUUUGAUCUUAAUAUCUGUACAUGUUCUCCCCUAUAUAUUAUCAGGGUAUUUCAAACUUGAGAUGUGAUAUUCAACUAUUUAUUGAUGGUAAAAAUGGAGAUCGAAAAUAGUUUUAAACAGAAUUUAUGAUAUAAAGAUGAUAUCUGUACCUUCCAGAAAAAGAAGGAAAAUGGCCAGUAGGGCACAGAGAGAUAAAUACCCAAGAUAGUUGCUGAGGAUUUAGAGUAUAGGAGAGUGGAAGAUAAUGAAAACCUGAGUUUCUUUGAAAUAGGAGUUCAUUGAAUUUCUAAUGUGUGUGUGUGUGUGUAGAGACACAAGAUUUUCUUUUUAUCACCACAUGAUUUUUUUGUUGUUCCUUUUGUUUCUCGAAACAAAAUAUUUAGCCACAAUGUAAAUAUUGAAUAAGUAAAUUACCUAAACAUAUGUUUUUCGUUCGUGUAUCUAUAGAUUACAUCUCUGCCAACAAGGCUUCCAGUCAAAUUUUUUGUAGUCAGUUGAUGUUGGCGGUAGUUACAUGUUUGUCAUGUUUAUAUGCAUUACGCAAUUUGCAUUCCUUACAUAAAUUGAUAAUGUUAAGCACAAGCAUAUUUGAGACCUAAUUGAUGGGACUUAAGGUACUCUUCUAACUUCGAAAUAAAUUUGAAGUGUUGGUUUAGAAGUAGGCCUGCUUGAAUAGAUAAUGAUCGUAGAUAAACACAACCUCCGACAUAUUAUGGUUCAUUCAAUUAAUGGUACUACUAAGUUCAGUUCUUCAUACUUUUUUCAUUGCGAAUGUAUCAUCAUGCAGAUUAUUGGACUAAUGUCGAAAAAUCUUUCGCAUGGACUGACCUACCAUCAAAGUUCCCUACAAAAUUUGUGCAGUAUCCGGUAUGUGGCUCUCAUCAUCUUCUUUCUUCCCUGAUCCAAUUAUAUUCGUCUAGAAAUUUGCCAAAAAGGAUCUGAGGUUCUACUUUCAUUCCAGCUGUUUAUGGCUAAAGUCCAUACAAACUAUGUUGACUGCAAUAGGUGGCUUGGCGAUUUUAUCCUGUCCAAGGUGCAGUUGUACUUAAUGCACCUCUGAUUAACAGUUCCCUGCUCUAGGUAUCAAACAGUGUUAUUAAGAACUUUUUACAUGUUAUUCCAGAGUGUUCAGAAUGAAAUGGUGUUAUGGGAGCCAAUAAUCAAAGAUCAGCCACCAGGGGAGGUUAGACUUUUAUGACUGUCAAUUCUCAUGCUUUAGAGAUAAAUAUAUGCAUGUGCAUCUCUUCAUCUUUUCUUUGCUGUUAUUGACUCCUAAUCAAGUGCAUCUCUCUGAUCUGACCUUCUAACGUGUUACUUCUUUUAUCCAAACAAGAAUAUAUAAUUAAAGAACUUUGUUUCUCGUUGAGUUUUUGUAGGGUUCUGCUGAUGUGCUCCAAAAGUACCCUGUUCCAGAAUGUGACAUGUGGUUUAUCAAGUUCUCUUGUGAUUUCCAUUACAAAGCUGCUGCUAUAGGUAAUACCAAUACAACUUUUGAAGCCCUUCCAUUCUGACAUACGCUAUUUUAUAGUGAAAAUGUCACUUUCAUCAUUUGAUAAUGUAUACGAGAUCGCCUUAAAAACUUGGCAAUUUUCACCAUCAUUGAUAAAGUAACCUGUGUGCCAGGAAAUAAAGAAGGAAAGAUUUUUGUUUGGGAUUUGCAGUCUAGCCCUCCUGUUCUCAUCACAAGGUUUUGUUGUUUUUUUUUUGUCAUAGUUCUCAUCACAAGCUUUAUUUGUAAAAUUUUGUAGUCUUUUUAAUGAAGCACACGGUAGAAGAGAACUCUUUAGGCAGGCAAUAAAUUUUGAUAUCUGAUAUCAUACUUCUUAUUUUAUUGUCAGGUUGUGUCAUGGAACAAAAUCAACUAUUAGGCAGACUGCAAUGUCCUACGAUGGAAAGUAAGUGACAUGCAGCAGCUUCCCUUCACUUACAUUCCAGACUUUAAGCAAGACUUCACAUGUUAAUUGUCUGCACUUUUUUAAUCUCAGAACUAUCCUUAGCUGCUCUGAUGAUGGAUAUAUUUGUCGUUGGGAUGAGGAUACAACUUCCUAGGCUCCCUAGCAUUGAGUUUGCUAGAACUAUAUGCUCAUCGUGUUUCGUUGGAGAUCACCCUCUUUUGCAUUUGUUGACAGAGAGCAUUGCACUAGUUUACUUGAUCAAAAUUGAAUUUAUAAUCCCGUGUUUUUGGAACAGAACAAAGAUUUUACCUUGCGCAGAAGUCUGUUUAAACAUGUUGGCUAAUUAUAUUUCUUUACUUUUACAAGCUUUGUUUGUAGUCAAAAUUUCUUGAAUUAAAUAGAUAAAUUAGAUGAAUCGGGAGGGACAGUUUCGAAAAACUUUCGAGACCCUGAGUUAAUCUUCUGGCUCGUUGUGGUAAAACUUUUCAUAUCUGAUCCUGUGAGAUACUGAGGCAGGAGGCUACUUGGCUGGUAAUUAAUGCCAACAAUCUCCCAGCUUUGUGUAAGAGUAAAACCUAUUACGGGGCCAAUUUAAUCUUUGAUCAAAAUGUGUAUUUUGUCAACACCCUGGCAAUAUCACGUCGAACUGUUUCAGGAUCAGCCUCUCACCAACUCAGCUUACUUGUCUUCAGGUAUAAUAGAAGUGAUUAGACAUUUACUAGAAAAUGAGUGGGCUUGUUCAUUUCCAAACAGCCGCCGAGUCACUCUGGUCCAAAACGUUCCCUCUUUCNNNNNNNNNNNNNNNNNNNNNNNNNNNNNNNNNNNNNNNNNNNNNNNNNNNNNNNNNNNNNNNNNNNNNNNNNNNNNNNNNNNNNNNNNNNNNNNNNNNNNNNNNNNNNNNNNNNNNNNNNNNNNNNNNNNNNNNNNNNNNNNNNNNNNNNNNNNNNNNNNNNNNNNNNNNNNNNNNNNNNNNNNNNNNNNNNNNNNNNNNNNNNNNNNNNNNNNNNNNNNNNNNNNNNNNNNNNNNNNNNNNNNNNNNNNNNNNNNNNNNNNNNNNNNNNNNNNNNNNNNNNNNNNNNNNNNNNNNNNNNNNNNNNNNNNNNNNNNNNNNNNNNNNNNNNNNNNNNNNNNNNNNNNNNNNNNNNNNNNNNNNNNNNNNNNNNNNNNNNNNNNNNNNNNNNNNNNNNNNNNNNNNNNNNNNNNNNNNUUUCCCUCCCUCCUCCAGAGUCGAGCCUUUGUCAACUUAUGCAUAGAGCGUGUUUGUCCCGGCUUAAAGCUGGGACUUAAAGCUGUUUCCAGCUUUAAGCUGAAAAAUGUCUGUUUGUGCAAUAAGUUAAAAGCCGGUUUAAGCCAAAAGCUGACUUAGAGGCCGAAGUUAGCUGGAGGUUCUUUUUUCAGUGACUUAAUUUUUUUAAACUUUUUCUUUGAUAAAAAUUACCCAUAAGUCAUAAGUUAUUCAUAAAUCACUUAUAUUUUUAUUUUUAUAUUUUUAAUAACUUAUAAGUCAUUCAUAAGUCAAAAUUACCUAAACAGAUAUUUUAAGCUGUCAACUUAUCAGAUAAAUUGCGUUAAGUCAUAAGCCACGUUAAGUCUUAAUCAUCUCCCGUUAAGCUCCGGAUAUCUUUACUGCUUAAACAAAAAAGACAAAAGGUUUUGAUUUAAAUAGAUUUUUAAAAAAAAUCUUAAAGGUUUUUUAAAAAUUUGAAGAGUUCCUUCUUCUGUCUAAGUACCCAUCCAUUUCUUUUCUCUUUUUUCUAAUUCAUAUAGUUUAAUUAAAUAUAAAAUGUAAAAAGGAUUAUAGAUAGUAUUUCCUCACCUUUAAAUAUAGGUCGCUUGAUUUUUUAAGACAUAUUUCUAAGUUUUUUGACCGCAUAACUAGAAUCAUUAUUUUUAUAUAUUCUAUUCGAAUCAUAAUAUUAAUAUAUUUUUAUUUAAAUUUUGUCUUAAAGAAUAAUGAUUUUAACCGUACGGUUAAAAUGCUGUAUUUCAAAAUAAAAAAUUCAUAUACUAAUAUUUUAAAAAUUAUAUAUUUUUAUGUUAUAUUUAAAAAUCAAGAGGAAGACCCCUAAAGAGUCUUUUCGUAUUUGAAAUUGUGGCUCUCAAAUAUAAACAGAGCAGGAAUGUCAAACAAAGACAAAUUAUUGCUAACAUUAUAUGAGAUACUCAAUUAAGUACUUAAACUUAAAAAUAAAAAAGUUAGGAUAAAAAUACUUGAACAAAUUAUAUGUACACUAAGUUAGUCUCGUUUAUUAAUAAAUCUAACUAAAAUUUGAUUUAAUUAUUGACGGGUUGAGUCGGUCAAAAUUAAAAAUAAUUUGAAUAUGUUUUAUUGAAUUAUGAACAUUCUACCCGAUCAAAGAAGUCGAAUGAUUUAAACUUUUAGUCACGUAAUCAUGAAUUAUAUAAUAAAUUUUAAUUUAUCAUAAAUAAAUAUAUAUAUAUAUAUAUAUAUAUAUAAUUGAUGUAAAAUCUGUACACUACACUUUGUAAUAAUUAAUUUAAUAAUUAUUAAUGAUAAAAUAACUACGAUAAUAAAAUCCAACUAAUAUAUUCCAUAUUAAAUUAUUAAUUAAUUAAGGCGAAAACCGUACGCGGCCGAAACAGAGAUCAUGCUAUGUUGAGGGCCCGUACGCAAAACGAAUUGGGCAUGAUACAAUCCACCAGUCCGCCACACUUUCAACCCUAGUUCGCCGCACUUUGACCACACUCUCACUUCAUCUCACCACUUAAAACUUAUCCAUAUAAAGCAUCUCAAGCCCUCGCUUCCAUGUUACUUCACCAAUCGUGCUCUUGAUUUUCUCAAUUCAAUUCUCAGGUAAACACUUAUCUAUCUUUAUUUAUACACACAUUGCUUUCAAUCAGCUUCGAGGAUCGUGUUGUGAUGGAUGUGUGUGAAUUUUGUGUAUGUACGUGUUUAUGUGUGUGCUGUAAUUGUGUAGAUUUGUCGAAAUGAGGAUUGUUGUGUUCGUCUUUAUCGUGUUGAUUGUGAUUGGUUUUGUGAUGAUGUGGAAUGGUGUGAAGAGACUGGAGUGAUGUGUGUUUUUGUUGUUUGUUUCUUGAGGAUUUAAAAUUGCAAAGCUCGGAUUUGUGAGAUACAUGUGAAUUGUGUGAUGAAUUAAAGAUUAUCUGAUUUUGAGUCUGUGAUGCUACUGAGGGGAUUGAUGAAUGAUGCAGCGGUGUUUAUAUGUGAUUGAGAGAUGACACUAAAAAUACUAGCAGGAUGAUACAAAGAUAGAGAUAUACAAUCUUGUGUUCUUCCUAGAGAAUAACUUGCCAGGGUAGAGCAUAGUAAGUGAAACAGAAACUUUUUUGCCAUCUAUAACUGAAACCGAAUAAAACCAGUACGAACUGAACUAAUUAAUUGAAUUACCCAUUUGGUUGUCUAAGUUGGCUGUUUAAUUGGUAGCUCAUUAAUUAACGCUCAAAUGGUAACUCUAGUAAGUACCGAUUUUUUUGUAGUUUCAAACCUAAUCCCAGACUAUCCCAUGCCCAGUAGGUAGGUAGGCUUGUUAGUGGACCGUGGCUUCGAUCUGAGCCUUAACAAAAGGAUAUGAACUGUAUUAAAUAAAUCUGAUCCACUAAUAACCUAACCUAAUAAGGAUCGAUGGGUUAAAAGCAAAUAUGGAUUUCCGCUCAUCCGAUGUAAUAAAGACCCUAUGACCCUAUCCAAUUGCACCUGAUUAUAUAUAUAAUCUAAUAUAUUCUCAUGUAUAAAAUAAAUUUGAUAAUGCUUGACCAAAUUAUUUAACUAUUAUGCAUUCUUUAUAUCAUUGGAAUUGCUGUGUUGUCUCUCUUUCACACACACACACACACACACACAAUUAUAUUAGAUUUCCUCUUCCGCACACAUCGUUAUUUCAUUAAUUUCAAUCGAUUGAAUGCUGUGUGUUUAUAGUUCAUCCACAUAUACUUAAUUUGAGUUUUUUUCAUGAUAUAAAUGAAAUCUUUAUUCCUUGUUCGCAGUCUUCUCCUCUCCUUUAUUAGUAUUGGCAAAUGAGUUCCAACACUCAAGUGGAGCAGACUUUGAGACAUAUUCUUCAGGUUAUCAAUCCUACAAGGGAUGAUUGGGAAGCAAGAUUUCAUAUCAUUGAAGAUGUGCGAGAUGCUGUUCAGACUGUGGAAAGCCUGAGAGGUAUUAAUGCGUUAUGACUAGUAGCUCCCUAGCUUACGUACAUUCUUGAUUCCUGCAAUCUUCAGAUCGAGACAUGAAAUGGGAUUGGUCAGGAAUGAAGAUUUAUCUGGCAGUUUUAUUGUUAGAUUUUAUCUUGCUCAUACUUAACAUUUUUUUCAUCUCCUAGUUCAGAAAUUACUAACUGGUACUCGCAUGCUUAUCUAAAAAAAAAAACAAAAAAAAACCUGGUACUGGCAUAGGUCAGACCUAAUAGGUCUGCAUCCUACUCUCAUGCUAUCAGAAACAUAGAUAAAUUGAUAUGGAAAUUGAGAUAUUUUAUGAUGACUAAUACACACACACAUUACACAUAUAUAAUUGGUGCUUAAUUGGAUGGUAUAUCAUUGUUCCUUUUUUAAAAUUGAAAUGGCUUUAUGCCAAACAGAACUCACAGCUUAAAUGGUGUACACAGGUGCAACCGUGGAACCAUUUGGUUCAUUUGUAUCCAAUCUGUUCACAAGAUGGGGGGAUUUGGAUAUUUCUAUAGAGAUACUUACGGGUUCGCAUAUAUCGAAUACGGCAAGAAAGCAGAAGCAAAGUUGGCUAGCAGAUGUACUAAGAGCGCUUAGAAGGAAAGGUAAUCUAUUUAAAGAUCUGAAACUAUAUGCAUACUGUGAAAUCAUUGUUGUCCCUUGUGACAUUUCACGGUAUAAAGUUAUGAACUUAAGGCAAUAAUCAAUAUGUGUGCUGCCGACAAGUUUCUUCAUUCUUACAAAUUACUUCCAAAAAUUGCUGAUGUCAGUUGCCUAAUCAUCACUUCCUGGUGUUGUGUGUGUGUGUGUGUGUGUGUGUGUGGGCAAUCUUUGAUCGGCAGAAUAGUAAAAAGUAGUUAUCCAUAAAGGAUAAAUAUUGUAUUAUGAUUCAGUAAAGUUUCUUAUGUUGCAUCUACCUCCUUAUAGGUAAAGUUUCUAUGCUAGUAGAGGCUAUUUGUACCAAUAGAUUAAAAAUAUAUUAGUAACUAUGAAAAUAUAGUUGAUCCAUAUGUGUGUAACAUUGAUCUGGGGAUUAUAUAUAAAGGUAUGAAGCAAAUAAUGAAAUAUAUUGUUCAUAGAAGUGUACCUCUUUGCAGGAACAUGGCUCAAGCUCAGAUUUGUCGCCAAUGCCAGGGUACCCAUCUUGAAGUUAGAGCACAAACUUCAAAAUAUCUCGUGUGACAUCUCCAUUAAUAAUUUGCUUGGUCAAAUGAAGUCUAAGAUGUUGUUUUGGAUCAAUGCGAUUGAUGGACGCUUUCGAGAUAUGGUUUUGCUGGUAUUUCGCUAUACCAAAUUUGAGAUGCCUGUCUCAGGAGUUAUAUACACCAUUUUGAUAUGUGUCAUAUGUGUAGGUCAAGGAAUGGGCCGGAGCACAUGAUCUAAACGAAUCAAAGUCUGGGUCUUUGAAUUCAUACUGCCUCAGCUUGCUAGUUAUCUUUCAUUUUCAGGUAAUAUCAGUCCCUUUUGCAUGUGGUGAAUAUUAAUUUCGAACUAUUACUGGUUCUCAAGUAAGUGAAUAGUGAUAUACAAGUCCGGGAAGCAUGGAUUUUCAAAAAAAAAGUCUGGGAAGUAUGGGUGCGGCAGUUAGGUACAGCACCGCACACCGGGUGCGCCACCCGGCUUAUUCUGUACUUCGCUGGCGGGAUUUGUAGGGGAUACGGGAUGAGUAUACGGGGAUUUAAAAAAGCCGGGACUUGUAUCCUCAAUUUCAGUUUUGAGCCAUAAUUGGAACAUACUUACAUAUCGAGGGAGAAAAUCUCAGCUCCAACCAUCAUCUCUGCUUAGUUGUUGUGUCAUCUGUUAGUGUAUGUAUAUAUGUAUCUCGUGUAUGUAUAUAUGCAUAAGGACAGGGGGUCAGUUUGUGAGUGUGUGUAUAUGGACCAGCUGACUAGUACAGUAAUUGGAGGUUGAUUUUGGUUGGCUUUUUUUUAGUUUGAUUUUAUUAAAUUCAAUUGUCAAUUAGUUUAUAUUUAGGUAUUAAUAAGUGAUUUAUGGGAAGUAGUGUACAAAACUACAAAUUAUGUCUUUUAUUUGUCAAGACUCAAGCUUGAUGAACUUAUGUAUUUGACUAUUUCAUUCAAUUUGAUUACCUCUUCUUCAUUUUAUUAAUUAAUUAUGAAAGUAUUACACACACACACACACAUAUAUAUAUAUAUAUAAUACUUUAAUAAUUGCCGAAUCCCCCCAAACCUGGAUCCCCAUAUUCUUAAUUUUCCCGAAUUAGCGUAUCACCGCACCCGCACUUGUGCUUCCUAGAUACAAGUAAAGUCCUCCUAAGCUCUUUAGAGAUUAAAAGAGACACCGCCUGUUCUAUUAUCAAAAGAGACUGAGACUCAAAACCAAUUGCAUCCAUGGAGAAAAGAAAACAAAUUGUCAUAUGUAACAUAUCAUGCAUCAUGUAUUAUUAUCUAGCCUUUUCUACAGCAUUUUCCAUGUUCUUAAGUUGCCUAAAAUUAUUAGAUUGCUGUCAUUCUGUGUUUGCUUAGGAUGAUUUUAGUAUGGCUGAAUAGGGAUGUUCUGUAGCCUUCUGACACCAACUGAUUAGCAAAAAAAAAUUAGUGCUGUUUUCUGCCCAGCCACUUUGGUCUAGUGUUAUUAAAAUUAUAUUGCCCAAGUCUUAUUUAAAAUUGAAACCAGAAUCACUACAAUCCAGGCUUAUUUUUAUAUAUAUCUUGCAGACUUGUGUACCUGCAAUUCUACCUCCUCUUAAAGAACUCUAUCCAGGAGAUAUGGCACAUGACCUUCGAGGUACCAUUUUUGAUAUAGUUAUAUAUUAUUCAGAGGUAAAGAUCGCUGUUAGUGAGUUCUCAUAUUUAUAUUAUAUCAAAAAUCAUGUCUAGUUAUUUAGCAGGGAAAAAAAAAAAAAAAUCAUGUCUAGCUUAACUUUAACAGUCCUCUCAAAUUGGUGGAGAUAUCUGAUAUGACUUUUGAUUGAUCUUCUUUUUAACUUAAGAGUUCAAAAUCUCAUAUACAGGUGAUCAUAUGGUGGAAUAAAAAUGGGAAGGUAAUAAGUGGUAUACUGGUAUAUGGGCUUACAGUGUAGUGAGUGUGUUGAAAUGAAAUUCAAAUGUAAUACCGAGGUUGAGCAUACUCUAAUCUCAGGGGUCCAAACUGUAGUUCCACUUCUUUGGUUUUGUUGUACACAUUAUGGUAACUAAUUGUUUGAAAUAUGGGAAUUUCUGUUGAUGAAGUCCAUCAAGAUUAAUUUGCAAGCCAGCCAAUAUAGACAUAGGGGUACACGAGUAAUAUUGGCUUAUGUUUGAUUUCUCAUUUUCUACGAGAGUAGGGAAAAUUUAGUCAGCCUAUCAAGAUGGUUUGAUGGAAAUAUGAACAGAUCUUAAAGAUGGUAUGGCAAUGUUGCAAACUUCUUGUGUAUCUUGAAGAUCACAUGAUAUUAAUCUGUGCUGGGGUUAGGAUUUAUUACAGUUAUAGAUAUGCAGUUUGUUAUGCACCAAAAGCACGAAACCACUUUUAGAAUCUGGCCGUUCAAAAUCCAAAAUAAGUUGCUCUGAAUAAUGCUUUCAUUUUUCCCAUACAGGUGUGAGAACUGAUGCUGAGAAACAAAUUGAGGAAACAUGUGCUGUGAACAUAAACAGGUUUCGGUUGAAUAGAUUUAGGCAGAGAAACCCAAGUUCUUUAUCUGAUCUGCUCAUCUCAUUCUUUGCGAAGGUAUUUUCACAAUCAGAACUGAUGUGGGUUGCAAAAAUAGUGUAAACACAAACAUGACCUGCCAGAUAACAUACAUCUUUUGCUCUUCAUAGUAUGUGUGUGUUUGCAGUAAAAAAUGCCUGGCACUAAUUUUGGUGUAGCGAAAUAAUUACUGUAUAUACAUUAUUCUUUCGCAGUUCUCUGACAUUGACGUAAGGGCCUCAGAACAAGGGAUCAACCCUUACUCUGGAGAGUGGGAAGAUGUUGAGAGCAACAUGGCAUGGCUGCCCAGAACAUUUGCACUCUAUGUAUGUUGUCUCUGUAUAUAUCUCCCCCCCCCCCCCCCCCGCGCGGUUCCCUCUCAUUCACACAUAGAUACCGUGCUUUAUUAGCUGCUUAAGCCUUAAUAAAGGCAUCUGUACCUCCAGAUUUAACCUUUUUCUGUUGCCAUGUUUUCUCAUCAAUGGGACCUCAUUAGCUGCUUAAACCUUAAUAAGCGCAUCUGUAACUCCAGAUUCAACUUUUAUCUGUUGCCAUGUUUCUCAUAAUGGGGCCUUAUUAGCUGCUUAAGCCUUGAUGUAGGCAUUUUUAGCUCUAGAUUCAAUUUUAUGUUGGCAUGUUUUUCAUUAAUGGGACCUUAUUAGCUGCUUUUUUUUUUUUUUUUUGCUGAAUACCUUAUUAGCUGCUUAAGCCUUAAUAAAGGCAUUUCUAGCUCCAGAUUUAACUUUUUGUCUGUUUUGGUAAAUAUAUUUUUUAGGUUGAGGAUCCAUUUGAGCAGCCUGCUAAUACUGCAAGGUCGGUUACCAGUAACAAUUUAACAAGAUUAGCAGAUGCAUGUCGAGCAACCAACUACAUACUGAGCUCAAAUGAUCACAACCAGGCUGCUCUCUUUGCUACACUAGUUGGACAACAUCGAUUGCCAACUGCGACGAGAUCACAAGUCAGAAACACAAAUAACCCUGGAAACUACAACCAAGGCCGUCCAUGGGUAAACAGAUCACAUCAAAGUCGUGAUACAAGGAAUAAUGGUCAUUCCAGCAGUGCCAACAGGAACAGACCAGUUCAGCCUAACCAAAGUCAAGCACAGCAGCAGACUUGGAGGCCAAGACCCAGUAGUUAGAUACAUAUCAUGUAUCAAAUGCCUAAAUUUACUGUACCAUUACUGGAGUUCUUUGCACAGGCCACAUGGUCUAAACGUAAAAUUUUUACAAUUGAGUAUCAGUUGAGAGAACUGUACAGAUUAUAUACAAUUUUUUACAAAUUUAUACAAAUUAUUUUAGUUGACAUUCAUGGGCAAGUUUGAGUUUUUGUGCGAUCGUUUUUUUUAUAAUGUGUAUUAAAGGAGGGAGUUUUGACAGGAGGGUGGUCUUUAAAACCAGUGCGGUGUUUGGUUAAUGAGUUUGAGUUUGGUGAAUGGGAACUGAAACCCUGAUUCGGGUGUAAUUGUGUGGCUUAUUGAUUUCAUUGCUGGUAACGGGAAGUUCAUUUCCUGUUGAUUCCCAAUAGACGAGUAAUUUAUUUCCUCAAUACAUUUUGAAAUUUAUAUCAUUAUAAAUGUUUUUAAAAUCUCAUUUCCUUUCACAAUUCGCAUCCCAUUUGGCCCCGAGGACAUGAACAUUAACCUCCCUUAAAAUGUUUUAAUUUUGUGCACCUAAUUUGAAACUUAUACCCGAUCCGAUCCAAAACGUGUACUUUCGUGUACAUUAUAUAUAAAAAUAUUAAUAAAUUUAAUAUAUAUUAAUCAUGUAUAAUUUUACUAAGUGUAAAUGAUAUAUUUAUAUUCGUAUACAAUUUUAUACAAAUUUGUUAAUGUAUCUUUAAUAUAUACCUACACAUACAUAUAAAUAUAUGUUUUUUACAUAAUUAAAUAUCUAAUAUAUUAUAUAUUUUGCAUAUUUUCGUGUAUUUCGUAUACCCAAAAUGAAAAUUCAUAUUCGACACGAUAUCUAUCGUGUAAUUUCGUGUUCGUGUACUGUAUCGAAAUUCAAAAUCCAUAUCCAUUUUUUUCGUGUAGUUUCGUUUCAUGUUAGCGUGUUACGUGUCAAAUGGCCCAGUAGGUUUUACCAAUACUUCAAUAGUUAUGUGUCAUUUGUUUAUAGGAUGUUAUAAUUAUUUUAUUUUACAAAAUAUUGCACUAAUUUCCAAAAAAAACUGAAAUAUAAAUUAUGUUAAACAUCUCUUAGUUAUUAAUUUUUUUGGAAAUUUAUAUAAAUAUAUGCUUUUUUAGAAAAUUAUUUUUUGACAAAAAGUUAUACUACCAAACAUUGUACUUUGAUAUUAUUGACUAAUCUAUAUUUCAAAAAUAAUAAUUUAUUAUAAUGAAAAUAUAAGAAAAUGUCCUAAAUCUCACAGUUUAAUAUUGAUAGUAAAGUUCAGUAAUGUUAAAAUUAAAUGCCUCCUGCUAAUCAUUAGUAAUACUGCAGCAGUGCCAUCUUAAACUAACAAAGAAAGCACACACUUUUUACUGCAACUUUUUAUGAUCAUCUUAUCAUACUAGAUAUAAAAAUAUAAAUAAAAACUUAAAUGCAUUUAAACAAAUCCAAUUACUGGUUCAAAUUUGAAUUAAGGACAUAUAAAAUUCGGAUUUAGUGCUAUACGCAGACAUACACUUUGAACACAAUUCAUUCGACUUCUUCAAUUACAUAUAAUAGUACCACAUUACCCCCAAAUCGAAAUACAUAAACCCUAAUUUCAUCCCUCCUUCAAGCUCUCUCGCCCCUGAUCCUCCUGGCAAGCUGAAUAUCCUUAGGCAUGAUGGUGACACGCUUGGCGUGAAUCGCGCAGAGAUUAGUAUCUUCGAAGAGUCCAACCAGAUAAGCCUCGGCAGCCUCCUGGAGAGCAGCCACAGCAGAGCUCUGGAACCGAAGAUC
rnacentral:lncRNA from 1 species